CCCUUAGAUGUUCUGGGCUGCACGCGCGCUACACUGAAGCUAUCAACACGUUUUCCCUCCCUGAGAAGGGCGGGUAACCUUUUGAAUCAGCUUCGUGGUAGGGAUCGGGGCUUGCAAUUGUUCCCCGUGAACCAGGAAUUCCUAGUAGACGCGAGUCAUAAGCUCGCAUCGAUUAAGUCCCUGCCCUUUGUACACACCGCCCGUCGCUACUACCGAUUGAACGUUUUAGUGAGGCAAUUGGACCGACGCAUCUCAGUUUAACCGCUGGUUUGUGUUGGAAAGACUUCCAAACUUGAGCGUUUAGAGGAAGUAAAAGUCGUAACA
rnacentral:rRNA from 1 species